AAAAUCAGUUUUGCCUGAAAUCAUCAAAAACAGUCACUCAACUUCUCAAUACGGAUAUGGAUUCAGGUAUCCCAAGAGAGAACAAGAAGGUCUAUCACUGGUCAUGUGAGUGAAGAAAUUGGUGCCUACCCCUUCUCUUCCCCACAAGAGGAAUUUGCAGACAGCAAUGAGAUGCCCCAUCAAUCUACUCCAGGCUGAACAGACCAAGUGAUCUCAGCCAUUCCUCAUACGGCUUCCCCUUAAGACCCUUCACUAUCUUUGUAGCCCUCCUUUGGACACUCUCCCAAGAGCUUAAUGUCUUUUUUAUAUUGUGGUGCUCAAAACCUUACACUAUUCUCAAGUGACCUGCAAUGAAAGAUACCUCCAAAGAGAAUACAUGUUUAGAGUCCUGCUUUAUUUAAUUUAGCCCUGACUCUUCUGUCAAUCCCAUGCUUUCGAAGUGGACUCUGUUAGAGACUUUCUUACUGGCAUAAGUUUGUGCAGGAAGGAGGCUGGGAAUAUGUGGUUGAAGAAAAAGUGGGCACCCAUAGCAGCUGACAUUCUAGCAAAACCGGACUUCUCCACAUCAUCACUGGACCUUUG